rnacentral:rRNA from 1 species
UACGGGGGGUGCAAGCGUUGUCCGGAAUCAUUGGGCGUAAAGAGUUCGUAGGUGGCACGUAAAGUCUGGUGUUAAAGGCGGAAGCUCAACUUCCGUAGGGCACUGGAUACUGGCGAGCUAGAAUGCGGUAGAGGUAAAGGGAAUUCCUGGUGUAGCGGUGAAAUGCGUAGAUAUCAGGAGGAACAUCGGUGGCGUAAGCGCUUUACUGGGCCGUAAUUGACACUGAGGAACGAAAGCCGGGGUAGCAA